UAGUUAAAUUCCUAUCCGCCUUACGUAAAGGAAAAUAUGUAGGCUGAAAGUACAAAUACAGGAGUCCGACUUAGCCCAGUGCUUUUAAAAGUUUUCUAACACGGAACGCACUUCUCGUUUAUUGUAAAUAGCAGUCCGCGGGGGAGAGCUUUUUAAUUCCAUCCGCAUGGUAGUGUAACAGUCUAACAAUAAGUGUGGUGUUUGCAGAAAUUCUACCUGUAGUGUGUUACUCACAUCUAUACUUCAAGUAAACUUUUUGUGCAUCCAGCCCCAGAAUAUACCAGUAGCCCUUUGGAGACCACCUGAAUGGUUUAUCUUCAUUUGGUGGACCACUGCAUCUGAUUCUUCCCGCCGCCCCUCACCAUCCCUGCCCAGCUUUCUGCUACUGCUUAUCGGGCAUACUAGGCUACCAGCAAGCUCCUCAUGAUUCACUGGUAGUUCAAGGACCAUAGGUUGAGACUUUACUAACGCGUAUGUACUUAAAGAUGCAUGUGUGUUGGCCAAGAACAAUCAGCAUGUAUUCGCCUUGCAUCAGCCACUCUGACUUGCAGUCAGCAACAAUCAAGUUUGUUUUUGAAUAUAUUCCAUAUAUUGAGCUGAGAGAUUAAAUAUUGCUGAGU